rnacentral:rRNA from 1 species
UACGUAGGGGGCAAGCGUUGUCCGGAAUUAUUGGGCGUAAAGAGCGUGUAGGCGGUCCGGUAAGUCAGCUGUGAAAGUCAAGGGCUCAACCCUUGAAUGCCGGUUGAUACUGUCGGGCUAGAGUCCGGAAGAGGCGAGUGGAAUUCCCGGUGUAGCGGUGAAAUGCGCAGAUAUCAGGAAGAACACCCGUGGCGAAGGCGGCUCUCUGGGACGGUACUGACGCUGAGACGCGAAAGCUAGGGGAGCAAACGGG